CGUGAGGCUAGCCCCAAAAAAGAAGAUCCUGCAUUGCACCUGGCCUGUUUUCUUGAACUGGGGAUCGAGCAUCAAAACCAGGCUAACGCCCCUGGUUUUCUAAAACCACCCUUCUAAAACCCUCCACCUCUCCUAUAAAACUGACAUACAGAUUGAGUCAGUAGCCACACAACAAAUCUAUUUCUCAUUUCCAAUAAUCUGAUUAGGUUUUGGCGAGAGAAUGGUGAGUGCAUAUCGGGCGUCUGAAGGCCUGGACGAGGAUGUAGAUGGUGGUCUCUUAUUCAACUUUCUGUUCCUUUAGGGUUCAGAGCAUCGAAUCCAUGAUUUACCAGAUUAAGGAGGAUGGGAACACGUGAACUUGGAGGCAUCUUUGCUCUUUCAAGAAUCCACCCUCAUUCGCCAGGACCAAUUGCUGAUGGCCGGGAGAUUAAGACUGAACACCAGAAGGAUGGAUCUGAAAUCCGGUGCUACUGGUGUCCUAGAAGUGGUCUCUAUUCCUUCACAUAUGAAGAUAUGAUGCGAUAUCUAAAAUAAGCCAAGGAAUACCAGCUUUCGAUCUACUCGUCAGAAAGCUAAUUGGUCCCACAAGGGGAACAGAACUUCAAUUGCUCCAAGGAGAAGUCACUUCUUUCCCAAUUUAGGGUUUAGGUAUCGCAUUAUUCAUAUCAGAAAUUCUCCUUGGAGCAACUUCAACCUUUAAGUUGGGGACUUUGAGGUGGGUACUUACAGGGCAGAAAUUCUGUAAGUCUUAUCACAAUGUUUUAAAAGGCACACCUCAAGGCUUUAAAAGCGUGAAACUUCCAUAAAAAUGAGUGUGUUUCAUUGCUUAGGUGAAGAGGCAUGUAAGGCACAGCACAAGAAGCACAAGGCCCAGAGAAAGGCGUCGAAUGCAAACACCCAAAAGUUUUAAGUAUUUUGUCGCAACUUCUCGACUCAUUUCAGUCUCCAUAGUAGUCAUUCAGUUUGUAAUCUUCUAUAGUAGCCGUCCCAAUUCAUUUUACUCCCAAACCGAAAUCUUACCCAGCAAAUCAUGAAGAGCCCAUAAGUUUUCUCAAGGUUUUUGAUUUAUUUGCUGCUAAAAGAGGAUUCUAAUUUGCAGCAAAGUAGGUCUAAGGUAUGAAUCAUUGAAUGGUCUGUAUAAUUUGAUUUGUUCUAUUUUGAUUUCAGUCCAUAGAACAGUCAUCCAGUUUCGA